GUGUUAUGUAAAAAAAAAAAAAUAAAUAAAUAAAUAAAAAAAAAGAUGUCUGGAUAACACGAGGUCUUUUGUGUCCUAUCAAAGUACCCAAUGUGUAGCAUUCAUGGAGCAUUUUCUCUUUUGUGUGUGCAGCUGAAUGCUGGUGGGGAGCAAAACAAUCCUGACACCAAUCAGUUCAGAUCUGUUGAGGACGAGGGUGGAAAACUGCAAGAGAACAUUUCCUGGAACAAACUGCUCAGACCAGUGAGGGGAGGCGCCGCACAGCCAGCUCAAUUGCUGUCCCAGAGGGCCCAGCUCUGCUCACACCAUGAAGAGCUCAGGAAGUGUGCACUGCGUUCGUCAAAGGAGCGGCGGCAGCGAAGCGAGGCCCGGCGGUCCAGCGAGGCGAGCGUUCUCACCAGCUGCAGCAGGACACAGCUGGAGGUGCAAGUACGCCCCCUGGACAGGAUGCCGGUCCAUUGCAGGGAAGGGCCAGC
rnacentral:lncRNA from 1 species